AUUGAACGCUGGCGGCAGGCUUAACACAUGCAAGUCGAGCGGGGUGAUGGUGCUUGCACUAUCACUUAGCGGCGGACGGGUGAGUAAUGCUUAGGAAUCUGCCUAUUAGUGGGGGACAACAUCUCGAAAGGGAUGCUAAUACCGCAUACGUCCUACGGGAGAAAGCAGGGGAUCACUUGUGACCUUGCGCUAAUAGAUGAGCCUAAGUCGGAUUAGCUAGUUGGUGGGGUAAAGGCCUACCAAGGCGACGAUCUGUAGCGGGUCGGAGAGGAUGAUCCGCCACACUGGGACUGAGACACGGCCCAGACUCCUACGGGAGGCAGCAGUGGGGAAUAUUGGACAAUGGGGGGAACCCUGAUCCAGCCAUGCCGCGUGUGUGAAGAAGGCCUUAUGGUUGUAAAGCACUUUAAGCGAGGAGGAGGCUCUUUUGGUUAAUACCCAAGAUGAGUGGGCGUUACUCGCAGAAUAAGCACCGGCUAACUCUGUGCCAGCAGCCGCCGUAA
rnacentral:rRNA from 1 species